rnacentral:tRNA from 1 species
GGGUCUGUAGCUCAGGUGGUUAGAGCGCACCCCUGAUAAGGGUGAGGUCGGUGUUCGAGUCCACUCAGACCCACCA